rnacentral:ncRNA from 1 species
AGGAGCGGUAUGAGGUGAAAGUCUCACGUACCGUUUUGAAGACGAGUCGGAGAGGCGACUCUCCGGCUUAGUUUAAU